AACCCCAAAUUGAUGAUAAUUUCAUACCCAAUCCAGAACCAUUAUGUUGAAAUCUUUUUAACAUGCAUCACCAUCUGAAUAAAUCA